AUGAGAAAGCCUUGCAGUUCAGGGGUAGCCACUUCACAGAGGCUGGUAGUUCCAGCACCCCUGGGCUGUGAUGUGCAGGAUGAGCACACCCUGGCUCUUGUGGUUAAGAUGGUGUCUAGAUCUCCAACCUGCAAAGGACAUUUAGACUGCAUGGGACACCACCAGCUUGCAACCAGAAUGGCAAGAGAUCAAGCAGGUUUUUGGAACUGGCUUCUGUGUCUUCCGUGUUUUUGAAAGGUCACUUUGCUGCUGAUGAGAAGGAAACUGCAGGAUUCAUCUGCAGAGAGAGAAGCUAAUUGCUCAACAUUUCAUGUAAGUACACUCAGACUCUUCCAAGCUGUUCAUUACCAUUUUUACCCUGACUGCAAUGGAAUUACUUAACAUUUCAAACCAUCAGACACACUCAAUCACAGAGCUCUGCAGACAUCACUGCAUUUAAAACGCCACUUCUUUCAAGUGCACCUCAAGUAGUGGUGUUCAUUUUCCAUCAAGUCAGAAAACCACUGUUACUAUCAUAGCAGUUUCUGCGCUUCCUAAGCCCAUUGCAAAUACUUAGAUUUCUAUCAUACCACAUACCCUGUGUAAUAUUGACCUCCCCUCCCUUUUCUGCCCACCCCUUGCAGCCUCAGUGUCAGUUCUGUCAAUAUAUUGUCUGCUUCUCUCUCUCCCUUUGUUUGCUGUAAACCAAGCCCUGGCAUCUGCGAGCCCUGUGUUUGACAAUAGCGAGCUAUUGAAUUCUUUGGUUACACCACAUGAGGGUUUUUCAGGCUGUGCAGGAUGCCAGAAUCAAUCUGGAAGUCAUCCCGUUUGGAAAGGAACCAAGGGGCAAACAGAUACAUUAUUUUUCCACUAAUUUAAAGUUUUAAACUGGUACUGGAGACUUUGAAAGUAAAAAAAUGAAACAUCAUAAACUAGAAAACAGAUGGAAGUGGAAUUUUAAAGACAUAAUCAGAUAGCCCCUGAAAUCAAAUAAUCUUUACCAGGGACUUCCCUGAGCUUUGUCUUGUCCUGAAGGAAUAAUUUCAAAUGUAAUAUGAUUUAAUAUUAUUUCUAUUAAAAUCUUCUUGGAUGGGAUUAAGCAAUCAUUAUCCCCGUAUGGAGCUUUUUAGGAGCUUUCCAUUGGUUUGUUGCUCAAAAGUUAACUGCAGAGUCAGGAAGAAUUGUUUACUAACAUAAACAAUAAAUAAAACAAAAUUUCUCCUUUGUAUCCUGCU
rnacentral:lncRNA from 1 species